AUUGAACGCUGGCGGCAGGCCUAACACAUGCAAGUCGAACGAGUGGCGGACGGGUGAGUAAUGUCUGGGAAACUGCCCGAUGGAGGGGGAUAACUACUGGAAACGGUAGCUAAUACCGCAUACCAUCGGAUGUGCCCAGCUGGGCUGAGCUAGUAGGGGGGGUAACCGCUCACCUAGGCGGCGAUCCCUAGCUGGUCUGAGAGGAUGACCGGCCACACUGGAAAGGAGACACGGGCCAGACGCCUAAGGGAGGCAGCAGUGGGGAAUAUUGGACAAUGGGCGCAAGCCUGAUGCAGCCAUGCCGCGUGUGUGAAGAAGGCCUUCGGGUUGUAAAGCACUUUCAGCGGGGAGGCGUUACCCGCAGAGGAAGCACCGGCUAACUCCGUGCCAGCAGCCGCGGUAAUUC
rnacentral:rRNA from 1 species